rnacentral:rRNA from 1 species
CGUAGGGUGCGAGCGUUAAUCGGAAUUACUGGGCGUAAAGCGUGCGCAGGCGGUUUUGUAAGUCUGAUGUGAAAUCCCCGGGCUCAACCUGGGAAUUGCAUUGGAGACUGCAAGGCUAGAAUCUGGCAGAGGGGGGUAGAAUUCCACGUGUAGCAGUGAAAUGCGUAGAUAUGUGGAGGAACACCGAUGGCGAAGGCAGCCCCCUGGGUCAAGAUUGACGCUCAUGCACGAAAGCGUGGGGAGCAAACAGGAUUAGAUACCCUGGUAGUCCACGCCCUAAACGAUGUCUACUAGUUGUCGGGUCUUAAUUGACUUGGUAACGCAGCUAACGCGUGAAGUAGACCGCCUGGGGAGUACGGUCGCAAGAUUA